UCUCCCUCCUCUGAGCAAUUUGAAAAAGCUUUUUCUUUUUUUUUUCUUUAAUAGUGUGAGUCACUGGAUGAUCAGAGGCCUUUUGGAACUUGCUUCUGGCCAACAUCUUUUUGCUGAGAUACUUCAGGAAUGAUUUUGACCUAUUGCAACAAUCUCAGAAGAAAUGCAAUCCAGACAGCUGUGAAUGUUUACCCUGAUUUGAUCAACAACUCUUGCUCUGCAUAAUCUUCUGUUAUUUCAGAGCCUUCAGAAACCAGCUUUGACACUGCCUAAACUAUACCCAGAUAAAACUAAGAAGCAAAUUUUGCCACAGGAAAAUAUCCCUUUUCAAAUAUCCCACAGACAAAAAGGUGAGUUAACAAAGAAAUCUAAUCUUUGCAUUGUACAAUUACUAUAUUUGGGGCAGAUUUCUACAGCAGUAUUAUGUGCUGAAUUCCCGAUGAUUCCAGUGAAGAGGUGGGGGGAGGACAGCACUAUGCACCAAGUCUUUUAUGACAGCUGUCUCCAUGGAGAGAACUGUACACUUUCCUAUUUUAAACAUCCAGGGCCAGCACCCAUCAGGGAAGGCAGCAUGAAGAUGUCUCUUACUUUGAAGAUGAGUCAGAGGAAGGACAUUAUAAAAUACAUUCAAAAUUCUUUAAGAAAAAUAAAAUAAG
rnacentral:lncRNA from 1 species